GGCGAGAUGGCCGAGCGGUCUAAGGCGCCAGACUAAGGAUCAGUCAGUCCACACUGGCACAUCUGCGGGAUUCGUACUCGCAUCUGGUCUUUCGGGGCGUGGGUUCAAAUCCCACUCUCGUCA
rnacentral:tRNA from 1 species